AUGUUCAGGAUCCACCAGAGACCCAGGAAGGCGCUGGAAUUUGUCACAGGGAUCAGCAGCGAUCGUGGAGACACCGAGUACACGCUGGGACCUCAGCACCUGGAGCUGUAUCCGGAAGCUCAGCCCCUUCAGGAAGUCCGGGCGGCCGUGACCCUGCUGGAGUCCGGGGGGGACCUCCAGCCCCCCGGGGGGUCCCUGCGCCUCCUCUGCCGAGGGGAUGGAUUUGAUUUUGGGAAAUUUGAGAUGGACUGGUAUCGCCAGAGACCCGGGAAGGGGCUGGAAUACGUUGCAGAGAUCAGCAGCGAUGGUGGCACCACGUACUACGCUCCAUCCGUGCGUGGCCGGUUCACCAUCAGCAGGGACAACGGGCAGAGCUCGGUGACGCUGAGCAUGAACAACCUCCAGGACGAGGAUUCCGGGGUUUAUUUCUGUGCCAGAACGUAUGAUGAUGGUGGUGGUUAUGCUGUUUAUCGU